rnacentral:lncRNA from 1 species
CUUCCUUAAUUUAAAUGUGUGACAAAAAGAUUAAGUUCCAACAAUUCUUACAGUCCACAUAGAAUUGGAUAGGCUUUUCAUGAGAACUACAGGGAGUAAUAGCUAUGAACCGAGAUAAAAUAAGCACAUAAAUACAACAUAUACAAUUCAUAUUGGAAGAGGAUGAAGAUUAUGCUAACAUAAGUAAAUUUGUAAAAGGCAAGCCUGAGUCUACAUUCUUUUUUCAUUUGAGCGCAUAACAAUACAACCUAGGCUGGUAACAUGGUAUCAAUAAG